rnacentral:lncRNA from 1 species
GUAGAAAAGGCGUUAAGAAAAAACAGCUUAUUAUUUAUCCCUAAGGAAUAUUAUGAAAUCAUAAAAAAGUGUCGAAAAAAUAAGUUCAUUCUAUAUGAAAUGAAACAAAAGGAUUUCAUUUCAACUAAGCCUCUAGAGAACGCAAUUUUUAGAAGAUUAAGAAAUAUUAACGGAGAAAGGGUAAAUUUGGUUAAAAAUAUUUUGGAUGCAAUUUUUGAGAACUGAAUCACAUAAAAUGUUCUAUAAGACAUCAAUGAAUGAUGAUGCAUUAUUCAAAACUCUAGAUUUAUUACUGCAUCUUCCUUGCUGGCAUUUCCAUCUUGUUGUGGUGAGGGAGCUUGCAUGUUCGGAGAAUCCUGAGAGCUAUGCCGGUGGUAGCUUUGUUACCUCUAGGAUCUUCCAUGCCACACUGGUCGAAGAUAAGGGGCCAGAUUAGCAGUAGUAGU